UACAAGCGUCACGGUUUUCACACUUGCUGAUGGCAGGCAAAAGGUAAGGGACCAUUCCUUACCUUGAAGUAGUACUUGAGCAAAACGAAAACAACAGCUCCUCGUUAGUAUAGUGGUUAGUAUCCCCGCCUGUCACGCGGGAGACCGGGGUUCAAUUCCCCGACGGGGAGAUGUCAACGCAUUUUACUAACCACUACUUAUUUCACCUAAUUCAAUGGCCCUACAUUGUUGACAAAUACAACAUGCUGAUAUCUUUUGUAGGUGCCUCUUUUCAAAAUAGUAAAUCUUAAGCUCACCGUGAAAUAAAAGCCAAUCCUGACUGUAAACGCUUCAUACUGUUGACAGAAGAUUUUGGGAGGAAGCAAACCCUCGGAGAGCCCAGGACUAGCUUCCAGCCGCCGGCUGCCAAUGGCUGGCAAACGCCUGCGCGUGCGCAGUAGCUCCCCGCCAAAUUCCAACUGGGGGUCACGAACUCCGCGCAAGGAGUCCGUGGGGGGAGGGGCGAGAGGGGGCGGGAUCUCCGCCCCUGAAUGGGCGGGUAAGAACGGAAAUAGCUGGCUGAAGAAGAGACCGAUUUCUUCUGACCCUCGAGACUCGGCGAAACAGGGAAGCUCCAUUCUCCUGCCUCUGCGAGUCCCGUCCCAGCCUAGAUAGAGGGCUAGCCAUCUGACAAAUAAAGGAAUCAGUCUCCAGCCUAGACCUACCCCGAGUGGAGGGACAAGAAGCAAACGGAAGAAAAGCGAAGCGCGCCAUGAAGACGCCAUGUUGUCGGAGUCCUAAGAAACUGCGCGGAACCCAGCCCAGCAGGACCUCGUGGCGCAACGGUAGCGCGUCUGACUCCAGAUCAGAAGGCUGCGUGUUCGAAUCACGUCGGGGUCAUGGGUUUUUGUGUUUAGGCUUCACUAGCUUUUUAAAGCCUAGGUGUUUCCCGCCAUUUUUUAAAAAGGCCUUUGAUUUUAGAAUUAAGUCUUCUUUGUUAUUCCAGUUAUCGAUAGUCUUCAAAAACAAGGGAUUACUAUGUAAAGCAGAGCCUUAAGGCUGGUGUGUUUUUUUUUUCACUGUCUGGGCCUAGGAAGUGAGUUCCCUGUCAUUUAAGGUGCAAUAAUGCAUAAAGAUGUGGGCUAUUAUUGUUGUGCCUUAGUGGGCACGUCAGCCCAUGGUAGUCCUUAACAAGAAAAGUACAAAUAUACACCGUACAAGCUGUUUUUACAAAAACAGUUUGAGACCCAUUUGCCUUUUGAAAGCAAGUACAACAGAGUAUAAUUUCUAACUUUGAAUAAUAUUUUACAUGUUUUCCCCCAUGUGCCAGGCACUGCGAACCCCUACAACAUGUGAUUAAUAUCCCAUUCUUACAGAUGAUAUCGUGGCACACAGAAGAAUAGUGACUCGUACCCAGGAUUCCAAAUCAGAUGACUUGACUCCAGAUCCCACUCUUUACUAAAUAUUUUACAAUUGAGGUGGAAGCAAAUUGUUGAAAGAACUUGCUAGAAGCCAUUGAAACUAAUUGAUACACCAGCGUAUAUUUUCAUCAGUUCAUGCCAGUAGUAGCAAAUCAGGUACCCCUUUCAAUUAUUAAUCUCUCAUUGCAGGGCACAGAGCUUACUCAUACAUCUUUGUAAGCUCCAGGACUCUUAGUACUUAAUAGUGCCUUACAGGCAUGUGUCAAAUAUUUGUUGUACAAAAAAUGAAUGGCAAGACUAUAAAAAUUAAUAAUUUUUUAUUUUUUACCGGGCAUGUUCUAUGGAUGUUCCUAAGUUUUUCUGUUCAGUGUUUUGCAAAUAUCAAAUAUUAAUCUCUUAUAAUUCAACCUAAUGUGCAAUAUAGCUGAUCAUUUUGUUUUCAUUUUGUGUAGUUGCUCUUCCC
rnacentral:lncRNA from 9 species